UGUGGACUGUCUCAGGAGGCAGAGGGGCACC
rnacentral:piRNA from 1 species